rnacentral:lncRNA from 1 species
GUGGAGUGUGCUGCUUUUGAUCAUUAUCUGUAUGCUGUGUGCUUGCAGGAUUAUGGAAAGAAGGACUCUCAAGAGAAAGACAUUUAAAAAUGCAAAACAAACAGGUGCAAAGGCCUGAAGUCCAGAAAAGAGAAGCUCUAAUUAGAAUUGGGAAACUCAAUAUGGAGCCUAAGAGAUAGACAAGCAGCGGCGAGCUGGCCACAUUCCAGCUCCCCACGGUUGUCCGAACCAGACAACACACCUGACAUCUUAGCAAGCAUGACGUCAUACAAGGUGCCUGGCAGAACCAAUGAUACAGAACUCCUAAGGAGUAGGUAAGAUGGGGAC